CGGCCGCAGAGUUUGAUCAUGGCUCAGAACGAACGCUGGCGGCGUGGAUAAGACAUGCAAGUCGAGCGGGAUUUUUUCCCGUAGCAAUACAGGGAAAAGUCUAGCGGCGAACGGGUGCUUAACACGUGGGCAAUCUGCCAAGAAGUGGGGGAUAGCUCGCCGAAAGGCGAAUUAAUACCGCAUGUGAUCAGAGUGGACAUCCAUUCAAAAACAAAGUCGGGGCAACCUGACGCUUCUUGAGGAGCCCGCGGCCUAUCAGCUAGUUGGUGAGGUAACGGCCCACCAAGGCUUAGACGGGUAGCUGGUCUGAGAGGACGACCAGCCACACUGGGACUGAGACACGGCCCAGACACCUACGGGUGGCAGCAGUCGAGAAUUUUUCUCAAUGGGGGAAACCCUGAAGGAGCGACGCCGCGUGGAGGAUGAAGGUCUUCGGAUUGUAAACUCCUGUCAUUGUGGAACAAUGCGUAAAUAUUAACUGUAUUUGCGUUGAUAGUACUCGAAGAGGAAGGGACGGAUAACU
rnacentral:rRNA from 1 species